ensembl:snRNA U5 U5 spliceosomal RNA
AUACUCCGGUUUCUCCUCAGAUCGAAUAAAUCUUUCACCUUUUACUAAAGAUUUCUGUGGAAAGUUCAAGAGCAGUUAGUUGCUUGAUUCUGUGGCGCUUGGAUGCUGAGG